GCGGGAGUAGCUCAGUUGGUUAGAGCGCCGGCCUGUCACGCCGGAGGUCGCGGGUUCGAGUCCCGUCUCUCGCGCCA
rnacentral:tRNA from 2 species